CCGUUGUCAUAUGCUUGUUUAAAGAUUAAGCCAUGCAUGUCUAAGUAUAAGCAAAAAUACAGCAAAACUGCAAAUGGCUCAUUAAAACAGUUAUGGUUUACUUGAUAAUAGUUUUUACAUGGAUAACCGUGGUAAUUCUACAGCUAAUACAUGAGCAAAAUCUCAACUUUAUUAGAAGAGACGCAUUUAUUAGAUAAAAAGCCAAUGCAUGCUUUUACAGUAUGAAAAUUGGUGAUUUAUAAUAACUUAGCAAAUCGCAAAGUGAAAACAGGCGAUAAAUCAUUCAAGUUUCUGACCUAUCAGCUUUCGACGGUAUGGUAUUGGCUUACCGUGGCAGUGACGGUUAACGGGGGAUUUGGGUUCGAUUCCGGAGAGGGAGCCUGAGAAACGGCUACCACAUCUAAGGAAGGCAGCAGGCGCGCAAAUUACCCAAUUCUAACAGUUUGAGAGAGGUAGUAACAAGAAAUAACAAUACAAGGGAGUUAAAAUGCUUUGUAAUUGGAAUGAUAGAAAUUUAAACCCUUUUUAAAGUAUCAAUUGGAGGGCAAGUCUGGUGCCAGCAGCCGCGGUAAUUCCAGCUCCAAUAGCGUAUAUUAAAAUUGUUGCAGUUAAAAAGCUCGUAGUUGAAGUUCUGCUAAAAGUAACCGGUCUGCUUUUAAUAAAGGUGGUAUCUUGGUGUGUAUUUAGCAAUGAUGUCCUUUGAAGUGUUUUUUACUUUAUUGUAAUAAAGCAUAUUCAGGACUUUUACUUUGAGAAAAUUAGAGUGUUUCUAGCAGGCUGACGCUUUGAAUACUGCAGCAUGGAAUAAUAAGAUAGGAUUUUAGUUCUACAUUAUUGGUUUUAAGAGCUAAAUUAAUGAUGAUA
rnacentral:rRNA from 1 species